CUCUCUCUCUCUCUCUCUCUCUUUAAUAAAAAACCCUAACUCUUCAUUUCCUUCGAUCAUCGCCCUUUUUCUUUAUCAUCGAGUUUCUUUUAUCUUCCCCCUUCAUUAUCCUCUGUAAACCCUAAAGGAAUUUACACCAGUUCUUCGAGGAUUACUGAUUCAAUCCGAUGGAAUAAUGGAUCUUUCAUAUGUCGUUGUUGUUCUGCAAGCAACAGAGUCCCAAUCGUGCUGAACGAAAAGCCGCUGAAGAUAACCUCAAUCAAGUAUACAAUUUCAUCUAUCUUCGAUUUUAGGUUCUCCCUAAAGCUUAUCUUAGGAAACACAUGACCGGAAAGUUGUGAAGAAUCUAAGCAGGUGUUUGAGAAUUGUAGUGUGGAGAAGGAUGUCGCAGAAUAUGUAAAGAAGAAAAACUUUGAUCUAAUAAUUUGGGCAAAAAAAUAGCAUCUUGAAAAGCUCUCAGUGAGUAGGAAUUGGUUAAGAUCUAAGCAUGGCGUCGCCUAAUUGGAGGACGACAAGUUUCCUAUUGAUGGUUAUACUACAGCGAUGGUUAUGAUGUUGUUGCUGAUGCCAGCAAAGCAAUAGAAUUGGACCACUCAAAUCCAAGGCUUAUUUGCGUAAGGGAAAUGGCGGUGAAUACGGAUAAAUUUGAACUAUACUUCAAACUAGCAGAUGUAGAUCAAGACGGACGCGUUAGUGGCUCUGAAGCUGUUUCGUUCUUUCAAGCCUUUGGUUUACCUAAGCCGGUUCUCGCACAGGAUAAAAAGAUGAAAAUGGCUGCUUUGGCUUUCGGUGAAGAUCAAAGAGGAACUUCAACUGCUCCUUUAACAAAUGAAGAUUUAAGAUUUUUGUUCAUGGGGGCACGUUAAAACUUUCGAUUAGUCAGGUGGUAUUGUUGGGUAUUUUGUUGAGAUAAAAUGCUCAUUUGACAUAUAUAUCAGAUGCAAAUCACAUAAAAAACUUUGAAUUUUUAAUCAAUAAUAAAUAAGAAAACAUUUUUUAUGGGAACGUGAAAAGCGCACGGGAAGAUGAACUUAAACUUAAAAGCGGCAGAGACAAUAAGAGGAAAACGUUGUUUAGAACGUGUUCGGGUCCAUAUGCGUUUUGUGCAAGAUGAGUUCGGAUGAAAAAGGUGUCGUUUUGAGUACUGAUCUAUUUUGCAUGUUUUUCGAUAUGUUUGUUUAUUUCAACAGAUCAUGAUAAAUGUCUUCAUUAACAUUUUGAAACUAUAACGCAAGCGGAAUCCUCGAUCAUUGGAAACACAAAUAAAAGCCAUUCAGGAACAUUAUGCUGGUGACAGAUUGUUGCAACCUUUUCCAUCCAUGUUAAAUAAAGAACAUUUUAUUUGAUGAUGUAGCCAACAGUUAAAUAAGGUAAAACCUUGGGUGUAGAUCUCACUUUUGAAAUCGAUGUUAUGAAAUUGGAUUUAAGACCAGUAUUUUCAGAUGCUAAAUUCUCAAAGGAAAGGUAUGUGAUUUCAUACGCCUAAUGUUUUCAUGCAUUUUUUGUUUUUCUUAGAUAAUUUUCGUUUAUUUUAUGAACACACAACAGUUUGAUAAUAUUUAUGCGCAGAAAGUGAUUCAUAUUUCUUUGAAUGUAGUCUUGAAACAACCCGUCAUGUGUCUGUGAUUACAAUUACUUUUUCAAAGAAGGAGCUUGAUUCGUCAUCUGUCGAAGCAGUAGAAUUCAGUUGCAACAACAGAAGAAUCCAGAUUCUGCGUUAUACUCAAGCACCGCCUUCUGCUCGACCACUGGCAGGACUGCUCAAACUGCUCCUAAAAGCGAGAUACCUGCUAGAGUUUAUCAAACAAGGAAUUAUGCUGGUUCUCAGUUUGUUCAGGUUCCUUCGAGCCAACAUCAGCAUCCAAAGUUGCUAGGAGACAAAUCAGGUGGUAUUUUCUUGCCAACGUGCUGGUAAGUGAUAAUUCGAGUAGAUGCAAAUCAUAUGGUGCCUCGCCUAUUCAACUUUUUCAUGUGAUGGCCUGAUAGGUUGCAUAUAGAAUUAGCCAGACUCAAGUUGAUACAUUCUCAUGAGCUGACUUCUACACAAAAGAUAGUUAUGCUACAUGCUACCCCUACCAUUAUGAAACAAGUUCCCAUUUGACUUUUGAGGUGAUAGAUUCGCUAAAGACAGCCUCAUGCUUAAUAUAGAGAAAUUCCAUGAACGAAUUCCAUCUAUACCUUCUGAGCUAAAAAGAUGUUCGUAUGUAUCACAUCUGAAUAUUUUCACCAUUCCUUACUUAACUAUAGUCGUUCUCAAGAUCAGUUCAAUAUGGUGAUAGCAAAUAAAUUUAAGGAGAUCUACAAUUUUGCAUUCGCCUGAGCAAAGGAGAGUUUACAUCAGUUCUCCGGUUGAUGUUGUAGUGAUGAAGUAUGCUACAAGAAUGGAGGGCCACUUUCAACUCAUCUAACGUUUUAUGUGUGCCCGUUUGAUAUAAAGCACAACCCAUUUCAUUCAUUAAUAUAACUUUGUAUUUUAUUUUUUUAUACACUUUAGAUUUAUAUAAUUUAAGAUGAUUUCAAAGGUAUGGAGUUUCUUGGCUGUAUUACAAAUAUGUGAACUAUAAUAAUUU